UAGGGAAUCUUCCACAAUGGACGCAAGUCUGAUGGAGCAACGCCGCGUGAGUGAAGAAGGUUUUCGGAUCGUAAAGCUCUGUUGUUGGUGAAGAAGGAUAGAGGCAGUAACUGGUCUUUAUUUGACGGUAAUAAACCAGAAAGUCACGGCUAACUACGUGCCAGCAGCCGCGGUAAUACGUAGGUGGCAAGCGUUGUCCGGAUUUAUUGGGCGUAAAGCGAGCGCAGGCGGAAUGAUAAGUCUGAUGUGAAAGCCCACGGCUCAACCGUGGAACUGCAUCGGAAACUGUCAUUCUUGAGUGCAGAAGAGGAGAGUGGAAUUCCAUGUGUAGCGGUGGAAUGCGUAGAUAUAUGGAAGAACACCAGUGGCGAAGGCGGCUCUCUGGUCUGCAACUGACGCUGAGGCUCGAAAGCAUGGGUAGCGAACAGG
rnacentral:rRNA from 1 species